rnacentral:rRNA from 1 species
AGCGAAUCUCUGAAAGCUUCUCUCAGUUCGGAUUGCAGGCUGCAACUCGCCUGCAUGAAGCCGGAAUCGCUAGUAAUCGCGGAUCAGCAUGCCGCGGUGAAUCCGUUCCCGGGCCUUGUACACACCGCCCGUCACACCACGAGAGUUUGUAACACCCAAAGUCGGUGCGGCAACCCUUAGGGGAGCCAGCCGCCUAAGGUGGGACGAAUGAUUGGGGUGAAGUCGUAACAAGGUAGCCGUAUCGGAAGGUGCGGCUGGAUCACCUCCUUUCUAAGGAA